rnacentral:rRNA from 1 species
GUGAGGAAUAUUGCGCAAUGGAGGCAACUCUGACGCAGCCAUGCCGCGUGCAGGAAGAAGGCGCUACGCGUUGUAAACUGCUUUUAACCGGGAAGAAACCCCAGGACGUGUCCUGGGUUGACGGUACCGGAGGAAUAAGCACCGGCUAACUUCGUGCCAGCAGCCGCGGUAAUACGAAGGGUGCAAGCGUUAUCCGGAUUCAUUGGGUUAAAAGGGUGCGUAGGCGGAGCGUUAAGUCAGUGGUGAAAUCCUGCAGCUUAACUGUAGACUUGCCAUUGAUACUGGCGCUCUUGAGUGCGCUUGAAGUGGGCGGAAUGUGCCGUGUAGCGGUGAAAUGCUUAGAUAUGGCACAGAACACCAAUUGCGAAGGCAGCUCACUAAGGCGAUACUGACGCUGAGGCACGAAAGCGUGGGGAUCGAACAGGAUUAGAAACCCGAGUAGUCC